rnacentral:rRNA from 1 species
CAGUAGCCGCGGUAAUACAGAGGGUGCGAGCGUUAAUCGGAUUUACUGGGCGUAAAGCGUGCGUAGGCGGCUAAUUGAGUCGGAUGUGAAAUCCCCGAGCUUAACUUGGGAAUUGCAUUCGAUACUGGUUAGCUAGAGUGUGGGAGAGGAUGGUAGAAUUCCAGGUGUAGCGGUGAAAUGCGUAGAGAUAUGGAGGAAUACCGAUGGCGAAGGCAGCCAUCUGGCCUAACACUGACGCUGAGGUACGAAAGCAUGGGGAGCAAACAGGAUUAGGACCCCGGUAGUCCCUGUCUCUUAUACA